rnacentral:rRNA from 1 species
CUACGGGUUGCUCCAGUGAGGAAUAUUGCACAAUGGGGGGAACCCUGAUGCAGCAACGCCGCGUGGAGGAUGACGCAUUUCGGUGUGUAAACUCCUUUUAUAUGUCAAGAAAAUGAUGGUAGCAUAUGAAUAAGCACCGGCUAACUCCGUGCCAGCAGCACGCGGUAAUACGGAGGGUGCAAGCGUUACUCGGAAUCACUGGGCGUAAAGGACGCGUAGGCGGGUUGGAAAGUCAGGUGUGAAAUCCUACAGCUUAACUGUAGAACUGCACUUGAAACUUCUAAUCUAGAGUAUGGGAGGGGGAGAUGGAAUUAGUGGUGUAGGGGUAAAAUCCGUAGAUAUCACUAGGAAUACCUAAAGCGAAGGCGAUCUCCUGGAACAUUACUGACGCUAAGGCGUGAAAGCGUGGGGAGCAAACAGGAUUAGAUACCCUUGUAGUC